CGAGAGCUUAAGUGGGUGCUUAGUUUUUUUUGUAAUUAAAAAAAAGAAAAAUUACAAUUAUCUUAAGCUUCGGAGCUUAAUUAAGCAACAGAAGCAAACGGUGCUUGGAGACACGUGUUACAAUUAGACAGAGUCUGGGGUUUUUUCCUUUCUCUCUCUCCACAGAUCAAUUUGACGAUUCAUCACCUCAGCCUCUGUUGAUUUCCUCCACGCUUCAUCACUCUACCUUGGUUCUCCUCCACGAUACAACGGAUAAAGAGAAGAAGACGACGAAGAAGGUAUCGGCCAGUGGGAGAGGAUGAGCGUUGAAGGGGAAGAAGAAAGUUCGGUCUCGGUUUCCUCCUUCUCAUCUCCACGUUGAUUUCUUCUGGGUUUUAUGAUUCUUGUUCAAGUCUUUGAUCAGAUUCUUUAAUCGCAUCAAAGACCAAAUUUUUUAUUUGUCUGCGUGAUCAGAUUCUUUAAUCGAAACACUAAUCUUUUGGUUUGGUUCUGUUUUCGAUUGUCCACGUUGAAACACUAAUCUUUUGGUUUGGUUCUAUUUUUGAUUGACUUAAGCGACUUGUUGUUAUUGAAGGUGGUUUACGUGGAUGAAAGGUGAAUCCGGCGAAUGGGCAGACACGAAGAGCACUCAGUAACAUAAACAAGAACAUCAUCGGAGCUCCGGUUUAUCCUUGUGCUAUCAACAAGCGACCUUUGUCUGAUCACGGACAUUAAACGAGUGGAUGAGGCUUCUUGGGGUGCUUAUAAUCAGUGUUUCUCUUAAUGGACAAGAACUGAACUCGUUUUUAUGUAUGCUUUAUCUCAAAAUGCCAACGACUCCUGCGGGGAUAUGCGCUAAUGGGGAUAUUCAGCACACGUCUCAACACAGUUACAGAUGAGUCAUUUGGUGUGGUGGUUUCAGAAAUACAAGGAAUGGACUCGGUGACGCGAGUGUCAAGGCUGAAAAAGAGGAUACUUUUGGUUGAGAAGGAGAGCGGGUUACAGAGGAGUGACUGUAUAUGGGUAGUAGCACUAUGUGCAUCAGUGGACACUCCUUUGGAUGGUGAUACUUGUACUUGUCUCAGGGCUGUUCUGAGGAACUGUGCGAGUGUUCGUGCAUUAGAGGUUGAAGAUGAACAAGUUAUUAUCAUGCCAAAUAUGCUCAUCACCAUCGGAGGCUCAUCAUCAUCAUAUCUAAAAAAAAGAAUGUUUUUUUUCUUAAAGCACCUCAAAAUAAGCAAUCUCCAUUGGAGAACAACAAUUUAUAGGUUUCUUAGAUUAAGUGCUUAACACAUUUUUAUUAUUAAAAAUUGAUUAAGCACUCCAUUUAGGAAGCUUGGGUUAA